rnacentral:lncRNA from 1 species
CCUUAGAAGAUUACAAGCCGGCACACGAGCUAUUCAUCGGGAUGCUCCUCCUAGCUGAUGCAAACAAACUACUGAUCGAGCUGCAUAGGGAGGAGAAAAAAGCAGCUGUGGAAUGCUUCAUUCAAAUAAGCUAACGCUCUAUUUUUUUUAGAUAUAUGCUUAUCAUGCUUAACUGAUAAGAGGUAUUUCAUAACAGCUUGCUGAUUAUUUGAAUGGGUAUAUGGAGAGCUCC